AUAUCAAUUCCCUUAGCUACUUUUGACUGUGUACUUCUAUCUAUUUUGGUGAAUGCCGAUGAUGGUAACACUACACAUUACUAAGCACUCUGGGCCUGAAAUUCAAUCAUGAGUUUGGCACUAGAAGAAUGAUUGUGAAUUCCUAUAGGAUAGAUGGUUGCCUAGCAACCAGAGUUUGAGGGCAAACACAGUAUCAGCUAGGGCACUAUAUACAAGGGAAUAAAUCACCGUUUGGUUGCCUUUGAAAAGUGUGAACUCCAGAAUCUUAUGAGCAUUUCAAGGGUCCCUCACUCUCCAAAUAUUUAUAAGUGUCAAGGAACAUGGCAGGCAAAAAAUGUGCCUGUGAACUACACAAGAAAGUGAUCUCUGAGAGGGAGAAUUGCAUUGCUCAGAUUCCACGACCACAAAAACCUUUAUAAAGGAAAUUCUAUAUAACAAAAAGAUUCUCAAAGCCCUGCUAAUGGGAGAAACAGGCAAGCAAGGCAAUCUUGGUACUACCAUGUUUCAUUACAUACACACACACACACACACACACACAUGUAUAUAUAAAAAUAAUAUUUAGAUAGAUAUGAAUAUUGUUGUUCAUCCUUUGUUUCCCAAGAGAACCCACGACAUCACAUGGUGAUGUCUUAACUGGUACAUGAAUUGCAUUUUAGUGAGGC
rnacentral:lncRNA from 1 species